UACGGAGGGAGCUAGCGUUGUUCGGAAUUACUGGGCGUAAAGCGCACGUAGGCGGCUAUUCAAGUCAGGGGUGAAAGCCCGGGGCUCAACCCCGGAACUGCCCUUGAAACUAGAUAGCUAGAAUCUUGGAGAGGCGAGUGGAAUUCCGAGUGUAGAGGUGAAAUUCGUAGAUAUUCGGAAGAACACCAGUGGCGAAGGCGACUCGCUGGACAAGUAUUGACGCUGAGGUGCGAAAGCGUGGGGAGCAAACAGG
rnacentral:rRNA from 1 species